rnacentral:rRNA from 1 species
UCCUUUUAAUGAGGUUGAGUGGGAUAAAAAUAAGAAGUAUGGCGGUCUUUGAUCUUGUCAGAGGGACAUGUAUUUAAUAAACGAAUUUGCACGAUAAUCUGUCCUAAUUUAGAAUGACUCAUUUUGUACACCGCUGUCUGAAAGAAAUUACAAAGGUAUUUUCUUACUUCUUAUAUGAGAAGUAAGGCAAGUUAAGGUGCAGAUCAUAGUUAGGGUAAUAUGUGUUCCAAUAAUAAUUAUGGACGAAUUAGAUGAAAUAGAUUAGGAAAAGAGAAUUUGAUAGUAAGAUUAACUAUUAAAUUAGUCUGAAAUUGGGCUAUAGAAGGUGU